rnacentral:rRNA from 1 species
UUUGUGGAGAGUUUGAUCCUGGCUCAGGACGAACGCUGGCGGCGUGCUUAACACAUGCAAGUCGAACGGAAAGGCCUGCAGCUUGCUGCGGGUACUCGAGUGGCGAACGGGUGAGUAACACGUGGGUGAUCUGCCUUGCACUUCGGGAUAAGCUUGGGAAACUGGGUCUAAUACCGGAUAGGACAGCUGUUUAGUGUCAGUUGUGGAAAGUUUUUUCGGUGCAAGAUGAGCUCGCGGCCUAUCAGCUUGUUGGUGGGGUAAUGGCCUACCAAGGCGUCGACGGGUAGCCGGCCUGAGAGGGUGUACGGCCACAUUGGGACUGAGAUACGGCCCAGACUCCUACGGGAGGCAGCAGUGGGGAAUAUUGCACAAUGGGCGGAAGCCUGAUGCAGCGACGCCGCGUGGGGGAUGAAGGCCUUCGGGUUGUAAACUCCUUUCGACAGGGACGAAGCUUUUGUGACGGUACCUGUAUAAGAAGCACCGGCUAACUACGUGCCAGCAGCCGCGGUAAUACGUAGGGUGCGAGCGUUGUCCGGAAUUACUGGGCGUAAAGAGCUCGUAGGUGGUUUGUCGCGUCGUCUGUGAAAUUCCGGGGCUUAACUCCGGGCGUGCAGGCGAUACGGGCUGACUUGAGUGCUGUAGGGGAGACUGGAAUUCCUGGUGUAGCGGUGAAAUGCGCAGAUAUCAGGAGGAACACCGAUGGCGAAGGCAGGUCUCUGGGCAGUAACUGACGCUGAGGAGCGAAAGCAUGGGUAGCGAACAGGAUUAGAUACCCUGGUAGUCCAUGCCGUAAACGGUGGGCGCUAGGUGUAGGGGGCUUCCACGUCUUCUGUGCCGUAGCUAACGCAUUAAGCGCCCCGCCUGGGGAGUACGGCCGCAAGGCUAAAACUCAAAGGAAUUGACGGGGGCCCGCACAAGCGGCGGAGCAUGUGGAUUAAUUCGAUGCA